rnacentral:rRNA from 1 species
GAUGAACGCUGGCGGCGCGCCUAAUACAUGCAAGUCGAGCGAACAGAUAAGGAGCUUGCUCCUUUGAAGUUAGCGGCGGACGGGUGAGUAACACGUGGGUAACCUACCUAUAAGACUGGGAUAACUUCGGGAAACCGGAGCUAAUACCGGAUAACAUUUAGAACCGCAUGGUUCUAAAGUGAAAGAUGGUUUUGCUAUCACUUAUAGAUGGACCCGCGCCGUAUUAGCUAGUUGGUAAGGUAACGGCUUACCAAGGCGACGAUACGUAGCCGACCUGAGAGGGUGAUCGGCCACACUGGAACUGAGACACGGUCCAGACUCCUACGGGAGGCAGCAGUAGGGAAUCUUCCGCAAUGGGCGAAAGCCUGACGGAGCAACGCCGCGUGAGUGAUGAAGGGUUUCGGCUCGUAAAACUCUGUUAUUAGGGAAGAACAAAUGUGUAAGUAACUGCGCACAUCUUGACGGUACCUAAUCAGAAAGCCACGGCUAACUACGUG